CUUCUGGAAGGGUAAGAGCAAGAGCAGUGUACAGUCUGGUCUAAGAAUGUCAAAUUCAGAAACUAUGCAACUUCAAUGUGAAGAGAAGAAAAUCAGAGAGCUGGGGCAAAGACCUCGUAAAGAGCCAACGAACAGAAGAAGAAAAGAAUCGACCCCAAGCUGAAGAACUGUUAUCCCUCUGCAGUACAUGGGGGUUUGAGCUCACGUCAAUGUGCCUGACCUAAGGGCAAAUGGAGCUAAGCAGGAGGGAGAAUUAGACACUUGCCACGGCUUGGAGACAGGGUCUACUGCUCUCUGCUGAACCAGAGGAAAGAACACACUGGCUCCUGAACCUUCGCAGGAAGACAAGGCGAGGGCUGCUGGGUGCCCGUCGCUGCUCACAGCACAGAACGUCCCACUCCUCAGACUCUUUGUCCCCGUCCUAAGACUGUCCUUCACUUGGUCCAUCCAAUCCAAAAUAUGGGCAUACGAAACACACCUCAUCCUUCACACACACAACAUGCUCAACCUUCACUAGCCACGUGACUUUCUUUCUCACAUCAUCCUGAAUUUGCUUUUCUGAAAUUUACUUUUCAAUCUUCUGACUUUUCUUCAUACCUAAGAAGACUGGACAAAGUGCUUGAAAAGCAAAUGGAAACAUUUUAUGAAUAACUACGCAAAGGAAAGACAUAUAAAUAUUUUUAAAGGCAGUUUCCCUUCUACAGAAAUGAGCUUAAGUCAACACUACAGUUGCCACUAAGUGUAAGGAUUCGUGAAGGGGAAAACGACGGACUCCCUUCCCUCUGUUCUUCUCAAGUAAUGCAAGAAGAGACGGGGGCGGGGAGAGAAGAGGAAUGCUGAAAGGGCAUUAUGCUUUUGCUAUUUAGUAAAAGAAGUAUCAACAUGCCUUCUGAUGACUCCUGAACAUCCCUUACAAAUGAAGGAGCCACAGAGUGGGGCAACUCCAUGCCUUUAUCACUCAGCCAGCCAAGGAAGAGGAAGACAAUCAAGCCACACUUGACAAGGGACAGCCUGCAGACAGAACUUGAUGUGUCCAAGGAUUUAGAACUUCUGAUAACAACUACAGACCCUCGAGGGCUGUGGCACGGAGGCUAGAAAUCGGGAUAUCUGCUUCCCAUCCUCAGUUAGCAUACCUCCGUUUUAUAAUGUAAAAAAAAAAGG
rnacentral:lncRNA from 1 species